rnacentral:rRNA from 1 species
CCUACGGGAGGCUGCAGUGAGGAAUAUUGGUCAAUGGCCGGAAGGCUGAACCAGCCAUGCCGCGUGAAGGUCAGUGCCCCAUGGGCGUUAAACUUCUUUUGUGCGGGAGCAAUAAUGGUCACGUGUGGCCAGACGAGAGUACCGUACGAAUAAGCAUCGGCUAACACCGUGCCAGCAGCCGCGGUAAAACGGGGGAUGCAAGCGUUAUCCGGAUUUUUUGGGUUUAAAGGGUGCGUAGGGUGGGAGGUAAGUCAGCGGGGAAAUGCCCCGGCUCAACGGGGUGAAGAGCUAUUGAUACUGGCUUGCUAGAAUGGGGGUGCAGUGGGAGGAAUGUGUGGUGUAGCGGUGAAAUGCAUAGAUAUCACGCAGAACACCGAUUGCGAAGGCAUCAGACGAAUGCGCGAUUGACGCUGAUGCACGAAAGCGUGGGUAUCAAACAGGAUUAGAUACCCCGGUAGUC